GCGCCCGUAGCUCAGUGGAUAGAGCGCUGGCCUCCGAAGCCAGAGGUCGCACGUUCGAAUCGUGCCGGGCGCGCCA
rnacentral:tRNA from 1 species